rnacentral:misc_RNA from 1 species
GAUGAAGAACGUAGCGAAAUGCGAUAAGUAAUGUGAAUUGCAGAAUUCAGUGAAUCAUCGAAUCUUUGAACGCACAUUGCGCCCGCUAGUAUUCUGGCGGGCAUGCCUGUCCGAGCGUCAUUUCAACCCUCAAGCCCCCGGGCUUGGUGUUGGGGAUCGGCGAGCCUCCGCGCCCGCCGUCCCCUAAAUCUAGUGGCGGUCUCGCUGUAGCUUCCUCUGCGUAGUAGCACACCUCGCACUGGGAANCAGCGCGGCCACGCCGUUAAACCCCCAACUUCUGAACGUUUGACCUCGGAUCAGGUAGGAAUACCCGCUGAACUUAAGCAUAUCAAUAAGCGGAGGA